rnacentral:rRNA from 1 species
ACGAAGGGUGCGAACGUUGCUCGGAUUCACUGGGCGUAAAGGGCGCGUAGGCGGUUUGGAGCGCGUCGGAUGUGAAAUCCUCCGGCUCAACCGGAGAACGGCAUCCGAGACGGACAGGCUAGAGGACGGGAGAGGAGGGCGGAAUUCCCGGUGUAGCGGUAAAAUGCCUUGAUAUCGGGAAGAACACCAAUACGGCGAAGGCAGCCCUCUGGAACGUACCUGACGCUGAGGCGCGAAAGCGUGGGGAGCAAACAGG